GUGUUGUUGAUGGCUAGAAGAUACUUCAGGGCCGGAUUGGUUUGAUGAGAUUGGGUUUUUCUGACAGCAUUUUGUCAAUUUUCUGGUUCUCUUGUGUAGUUCGUUCCUGCUGAUGUUACUAGGGGUCUGAAUCUGAUUAAAGCCCACAAACUGCAAAAUACUUUCAGAUGAUGUUCUGACACCAAAUAUAGAGAACAGUAAUUUUGCUUACCAAGUACCCAACUUCCAUAAGUGUGAGAUCUGUGUGCUGUCUUUUCCAAAAGAGACACAGUUCCAGCGCCAUAUGAGGGAUCAUGAGCAAAAUGACAAGCCUCACCGAUGUGACCAGUGUCCGAUGUCAUUCAAUGUUGAAUUCAACUUGACACUUCAUAAAUGUACUCAUAAUGGUGAAGAUCCUACGUGUCCCGUGUGCAACAAGAAGUUCUCCAGAGUUGCCAGUCUGAAAGCUCAUAUAAUGUUACAUGAGAAAGAGGAGAAUCUUAUCUGUUCAGAGUGUGGCGAUGAAUUUACUUUACAGAGUCAGCUGUCCAUACACAUGGAAGAACAUCGUCAAGAAUUGGCAGGCAGUAGGAUCCACAGCUGCAAGUCUUGCAAAAAGGAAUUUGAAACUUCCUCGCAGCUAAAGGAGCAUAUGAAAACUCACUAUAAAAUAAGAGUAUCAAAUACCAGAUCUUAUAACAGAAAUAUCGAUAGAAGUGGGUUUACCUAUUCCUGUCCUCACUGUGGAAAGACCUUCCAGAAGCCGAGUCAAUUAACACGACAUGUUAGGAUACACACAGGUGAACGACCUUUUAAAUGCAGUGAAUGUGGAAAAGCCUUUAACCAGAAGGGGGCAUUGCAGACCCAUAUGAUCAAGCACACUGGUGAAAAACCCCAUGCUUGUGCCUUUUGUCCUGCAGCCUUUUCUCAGAAAGGCAAUCUUCAGUCACACAUACAGAGAGUUCAUUCAGAGGUUAAGAAUGGCCCAACAUACAACUGUACAGAAUGUAGCUGUGUCUUCAAAAGCUUGGGUAGCUUAAAUACACAUAUCAGCAAGAUGCACAUGGGUGGUCCACAGAAUUCUGCAAGCUCUUCAACAGAUGUAUCUCAUGUUACAGCGGACUCUGUCACCCAGCCUUUAACAACAUCGCCUGCUAAUCUUUUGCAACCUGUUGAUAACAAAUGGAAGAAUGCCACACAUUUUCGGUCUCCACUUCUUCAACAGACAGAAAGCCAGGUGUCUUCAGCUGCUGCUCAUCAGAGUCAGCAGGCUGUAACUGAUGUCAUCCAGCAGCUCCUUGAGUUAUCAGAACCAGGUCCUGUAGAAAAUAACCAGCCGCAACAACCUACUCAGCAACUCAACAUCGCAGUGGGAAUCAAUAGAGAUAUUUUGCAGCAAGCUUUAGAGAACAGUGGGUUGUCUUCAAUUCCUGUCUCUGCACAUUCUACUGACUGCAGCCAGGCGAAGACUCCUGGGGCCCAGGAUCAGAACCCAGAUAUCCAGACUCUCUCAAAUCAUCAAGCUGACUCUAAUAAUGCAGAACAAGAUAAGGAGCAAGAGAGUACAGAUAAACUGGAUAAAAAAGAAAAAAAGGUUAUUAAGAAAAAAUCACCGUUUUUACCUGGUUCUAUACGGGAAGAAAAUGGAAUACGGUGGCACGUUUGUCCAUAUUGCUCUAAAGAAUUUAAAAAACCAAGUGAUCUAGUGCGCCACAUUCGCAUUCAUACCCACGAGAAGCCAUUCAAGUGUCCCCAGUGUUUCCGCGCCUUUGCCGUUAAGAGCACUCUCACAGCACACAUCAAAACACACACCGGCAUUAAAGCUUUCAAGUGCCAAUUUUGUAUGAAAUGCUUUUCCACCUCAGGGAGUUUAAAAGUUCACAUUCGUCUACAUACAGGUGUUAGGCCUUUUGCUUGUCCUCACUGUGACAAAAAGUUCAGAACAUCAGGCCACCGGAAAACUCAUAUUGCUUCACAUUUUAAACAUACUGAACUAAGAAAGCUGCGACAUCAACGUAAACCUGCAAAAGUUCGAGUAGGAAAGACGAGUGUUCCAGUACCAGAUAUUCCUUUGCAAGAGCCCAUACUCAUAACCGAUUUAGGUCUUAUCCAGCCAAUCCCAAGGAAUAGCCAGUUCUUCCAAAAUUAUUUUAACAAUAACUUUGUGAAUGACGCAGACAGACCAUACAAAUGUUUCUAUUGCCAUCGAGCCUAUAAAAAAUCUUGUCAUCUUAAGCAACACAUCAGGUCACAUACUGGUGAAAAGCCAUUUAAGUGCUCUCAGUGUGGAAGAGGUUUUGUGUCAGCUGGAGUUCUGAAAGCACAUAUUAGAACACACACUGGAUUGAAAGCUUUUAAGUGUCUUAUAUGCAACGGGGCCUUCACUACUGGUGGGAGCCUCAGGCGACAUAUGGGGAUCCAUAAUGACCUUCGACCAUAUAUGUGUCCAUAUUGUCAAAAAACAUUCAAAACGUCGCUAAACUGUAAAAAACAUAUGAAGACUCACAGAUAUGAACUUGCACAGCAACUUCAGCAGCAUCAGCAGUCUGCUUCAAUAGAUGAUACUACAGUAGAUCAGCAGAGCAUUCAUGUUUCUACACAGAUGCAAGUGGAGAUUGAAAGUGAUGAGCUACAGCAGCCAGAAGCUGUUGCAACAGACCAGCAGGCUAUUUUAGAAUUGGACCAGCAGCCAGUAGUGGGCACAGAAGAAACAGCGCUAGAACAACAAUUGGCUGAUCAGCCUUUAGAGCAAGACGAGGAUAGAUUUGUGACAUCCCAGCAUGCUUUACAGGAAAAUAUCACUCAAUUUGAACAACAAACUAUAACACAGCAGCCAUUUGAUCAACAGGGCUUAUCACAAGGUUUUACAGUGAAUGACAGCUACAAUCAACAGGCUCAAUUUCCAGCUGUCCAGCAGCUGCAGGAUUCAAGCACACUUGAAUCUCAGGCUCUUUCAACGAGUUACCAUCCGCCAGCCCUUCUUCAGGUUCCAAGUACAGACACUAUUAACGUAACUACUCGUUUGAUCCAAGAUCAGUCAUCGCAAGAAGAACUUGAAUUGCAGGCCCAACGGCCUCAUUUUCUUGAGGAUAAUGAAGACCAAAGCAGGCGUUCAUAUAGAUGUGAGUAUUGCAACAAGGGUUUUAAGAAAUCCAGCCAUUUGAAGCAACACGUACGAUCGCAUACUGGUGAGAAACCUUAUAAAUGCCAACUCUGUGGCCGUGGCUUUGUUUCCUCAGGAGUUCUUAAGUCACAUGAGAAGACUCAUACAGGAGUUAAAGCAUUCAGCUGUAGCAUUUGCAAUACCUCCUUCACAACUAAUGGCAGCCUUACCAGGCACAUGGCAACUCACAUGAGCAUGAAGCCUUACAAGUGCCCAUUCUGUGAUGAAAGCUUUCGAACAACUGUUCACUGCAAAAAACAUAUGAAAAAACAUCAGGCAGUCUCCUCAGCUGUAGCAGCAGCUACAGAAACAGGAGGGGGAGUUGCAUGUGUUGAAGAUGAUGAUGAAAACUCUGAAAGAACUUCUAGAAAAUCUCGUCCUGGUGUCAUAACUUUUACAGAAGAAGAAACAGCAGAACUGGCAAAGAUUAGGCCUCGAGAAAGUGCCACUGUCUCAGAAAAAGUUCUUGUCCAGUCUGCUGCAGAGAAAGACAGAAUUAGUGAGAUCAAAGAUAAGCAAGCAGAACUGGAAGCAGAGCCCAAAUAUGCCAACUGCUGUAGUUAUUGUCCCAAAAGCUUUAAAAAACCUAGUGAUUUGGUCAGGCAUGUUCGUAUCCAUACUGGAGAGAAGCCCUAUAAGUGUGAAGAAUGUGGAAAGAGUUUCACUGUAAAAUCCACUCUAGAUUGUCAUGUUAAAACACACACAGGCCAGAAGCUCUUCAGUUGUCACGUAUGCAGUAAUUCUUUUUCUACAAAAGGGAGUCUAAAAGUCCACAUGCGUCUGCACACAGGAGCAAAGCCCUUUAAAUGUCCACACUGUGAUUUACGGUUUCGUACUUCAGGGCGCAGGAAAACCCACAUACAGUGUCAUUAUAAACCAGAGACAAAGAAAGCUAGGAAGCCUGUCGCCCGUACUUCAGCUGAGGGACUCCAGCCAGUCAGUCUUCUUAAUUCAUCCUCAACGGACCCUAACGUUUUCAUCAUGAAUAACUCUGUUUUGACGAAUCAGUUUGAUCAAAAUUUACUUCAACAAGGACUUGUGGGCCAGGCUAUCUUGCCUGCUUCGGUGUCAGCUGGAGGUGACUUAACUGUGUCCUUGACAGAUGGUAGCUUGGCCACUCUUGAAGGAAUACAGUUACAACUUGCUGCUAAUCUGGUUGGGCAAAAUGUUCAAAUUUCUGGAAUAGAUGCCACCAGUAUUAACAACAUAACAUUACAGAUUGAUCCCAGUAUUCUACAGCAGACAUUACAGCAGAGUAAUUUACUUACUCAGCAGCUAACUGGAGAUCCCAGUAUGGCUCCACAGAAUCCCUCCCUACAGGCAACAGAAAACGCAGUGCCAGCUAAUGUGGUUAUUCAGCCUAUAUCAGGCCUGUCUUUGCAGCCCACAGUAACAUCUUCUGCCAACAUGACAAUAGGAUCCCUCUCUGAGCAAGAGUCUGUGCUGACAACCAACUCCAGUGGUGCACAGGACAUCUCUCAAGUCAUGACUUCACAGGGUAUGGUAUCAUCUUCAAAUGGACAACAUGAGAUAACAUUGACCAUAAAUAAUUCCAGCUUGAGUCAAGUUCUAGCUCAUGCUUCAGGUUCUACAACUACAAGCUCAUCAGGAAGUCCUCAAGAGAUCACUCUUACAAUAUCUGGUCAAGAUCUUAUUCAGCAUAAUUCUGGAAGUAGUGAUCUGAACAGUGGCUUAAGACUGACAGCACCAACCAUCAACAGUCAGACUACAGGUGCUACAUUAACUAUAAGCAAUGACCAGCUUCUUUCUCAGGGCACUUCACUGAAUGCUCCAGAACUCAAUACCACAGGUGGAACAAACCUUCCUUCAACAACACCCAUAUCUCAGUCUACAGUUUCUGCCCAGAAUUUGGUCAUGUCUUCAUCAGGAGUUGGAGGAGAUGGUAGUGUCACCUUGACUCUUGCUGACACUCAGGGAAUGCUGUCAAGUGGUCUUGAUGCAGUUACACUUAAUAUCACUUCACAGGGUCAGCAGUUCCCUGCUAUACUCACAGAUUCCAGUCUCGCUAGCCAAAGUGGGUCAGGCUCACAGCAAGUCAUACUGGUGAGCCAUACACCCCAUUCAGCAUCUGCAAACUCUGAUGAAAUAACAUAUCAGGUGACAGAGGUUUCUCCUAAUGUGACUAAAAGCAGUCAAGCAGAAAAAGAAGGUCGCGUGCACCAGUGUUUUGAGUGCAGUCAAACCUUUUCUUCAGCCACCAUGUUGAUGCACCAUAGUAAAGAGGUUCAUGGCAAAGAAAGAAUCCAUGUUUGCCAUGUCUGCAAUAAAGCCUUCAAGCGGGCAACGCAUCUCAAGGUAUUUGGAACACAUGCAAACCCAUCAGGCUGGACCUUCACUGAGUUCCCAGAAGCCCAGAGUGUUCAAGUGUGAUACUUGUGAAAAAGCUUUUGCGAAGCCAAGUCAGCUGGAGAGACAUAGUCGCAUUCACACAGGGGAACGGCCAUUUCAGUGUACAGUAUGUGAAAAGGCUUUUAACCAGAAGAGUGCUCUUCAAGUCCAUAUGAAAAAGCACACAGGAGAGAGGCCUUAUAAAUGUGAUUACUGUACAAUGGGAUUUACACAGAAAAGCAAUAUGAAACUGCACAUGAAACGGGCUCAUGGCUACACUGGUCCUGUACAAGAGCCUCCUAGUCAUCAGGAACAAGAAGGGGAAGAUAUUAGUCGUGCUCUGAAUUUAGAAGAAGUGGUACAAGAAUCUUCAAAUGAAUGGCAAAGUAUAGGCAAUGUUUUUCGAUGACAUGUUAAAAUGUGACACCUAAAAAUGUUUCUGGGACUUGAAUUUCUCUAAACAAGAUUUCAGAAAAGGAAAAGAUGGAUUUUACAGUUAAAGCUUCAAGCAUUGAAAAUAUUAACGAUAGAAUAAUAUAUUAUAGGGGUUUUUUAAUUAUUUACAAAAAUUACCUAAAAGAAUCAUUCUUUUUUUUUUAAGCUUGUAGAAGAAUAUUGAGAAAACAUCAUUUAAUCUGUGCUAAGUUGUCUGUGAAUCAAUGAACUCAGGUAAUACUGUAUACAGUUUCAUCUUCUAAUUCACAGCCAGUAUAUCUAUUUGAAAAAUAAACUGGAACUUUAUAUCAGAAUAGAAUGAUUCCCAUUUUUAAAGGAGGUGAAGAAUAACUUCGUGGGAAACUGUCGGUCAGCUUUCUUUUUUGGGUGUUUAAAGAAAUAAUUGAGGUUGGAAACAAUGUUACAGAGUAGAUGCAUGCAGUAUAAAAUAGUUUUGUUUUUUACAAGGCACAGGAGAAUGCUGUAUUUCUGUUUUAAGCUUUUUUUUAGUACAUUUUGAGUAUUUGUUGAAAAAAAUAAAAUGCCAUGAACUUAUGGCUUUUCUUCAGUUAAACUAUUGAGAGGGAGCAUGUUCGUUUCCAUUCCAACCACAGAGACAGUUAGUUGUUAGUUUUUGCAUUAAAAGUCUGAGGUUUUAAACUCAGCAAUAAUUAUUUAAAGAGAAUCCAAACUAGAAGAGGUUCCAAUGAAAGCCUCUUCUUUUAUGUUUGCUGUAUUGGAUCAGCAGGUACAUAUCUCAGUAUCUGUGGAAAACACAGCCAUAUACUAAAUCUGGGAGGAAAACAUACAAUUUUGUGUUAGCAGCAAGAAAGGUAGAUGCACACUAGGUCACCUAUAUUAUACAAUAUUCCCCAGUGCUGUAAAACAGUUAUCAUUUCAAAUCUGUAAAUUCCUCGUUAUUUUCUUUGUGAAUUUUGGAAAUAUGUUACUUUGAUUUGUUAAGUCAUUGUUUCAGCAAAACUACCUAGUUGACGAAGUAAUGCUUUGAAAGGUGCCACUUGUUAAGUAUGUUCAUAACGAAGAAACACUGGAGUAAAGACAUAGUCAUCUUUUAGACAUUCCAAAGACAGAAGCUCUUUUCUUAUUUUUACCUUGUUCUUCUGAAUUUUAUUUAUAUGUUACAUAUAUAUAGAUAUAUAUAUGUGUGCUUGUAUGUAUAUAUAUAUAUAUUUAAAGUUAUACGAGCCUCUGUGUGGCUGAUCAGUAUAUUUUGUAAAUACUAAUCCCAGUUGCAGGAAGUUCAUCUUUUUGGUUUGCCACAAGUACUUCUAGAUCAGUGGUGGAUUUGUUGUACUAUAAUACAGAGUUGGAUUUUAAUUUACCUUCUAAAAGAUGAUUGCUCUCAGAUCCAAAAAGCCCUUUUAUGUAAAUAUUGUCUAUACUUUGUCUAUGAUACAAACUAGUUAUUUCAGAUUGCUGAAGCAAGAAAUCACUGUUGGUUUUGAUAGGGCAUCUUUUAAUUCUUUUGUUAACUCUUUGGCAUAUGUAUAUAAGUAAUAUAGAUGGUGACAUGAAAAUAACACUUUUGUUAUGUGGAAUAUUUAAUUCAAAAACAUGUUAAAUAAUAUUACUUUUUUCCAAA